AAUAGAUACCCGGGUAGUCCACGCCGUAAACGUUGGGCGCUAGAUGUGGGGACCAUUCCACGGUUUCCGCGUCGUAGCUAACGCAUUAAGCGCCCCGCCUGGGGAGUACGGCCGCGAGGCUAAAACUCAAAGGAAUUGACGGGGGCCCGCACAAGCGGCGGAGCAUGCGGAUUAAUUCGAUGCAACGCGAAGAACCUUACCAAGGCUUGACAUAUGCGAGAACGCUCUAGAAAUAGAGAACUCUUUGGACACUCGUAUACAGGUGGUGCAUGGUUGUCGUCAGCUCGUGUCGUGAGAUGUUGGGUUAAGUCCCGCAACGAGCGCAACCCUCGUCGCAUGUUGCCAGCACGUAAUGGUGGGAACUCAUGUGAGACUGCCGGGGUCAACUCGGAGGAAGGUGGGGAUGACGUCAAAUCAUCAUGCCCCUUAUGUCUUGGGCUUCACGCAUGCUACAAUGGCCGGUACAAAGGGCUGCGAAACCGCAAGGUGGAGCGAAUCCCGAAAAAGCCGGUCUCAGUUCGGA
rnacentral:rRNA from 1 species